rfam:Felis catus isolate Cinnamon breed Abyssinian chromosome C2, whole genome shotgun sequence.
GCCUGGGUGGCUCAGUCGGUUGAGUAUCCGACUUCGACUCAGGUUAUGAUCCUGUGGUUCGUGGGUUCAAGCCCCGCGUCGGGCU